UCCUUCAGCGGAUACCUGUCACCGUCAAACUCCGCUGCUUUUACCCACUGUGGUGUAUACAUUUAUUUACCUAAUCUAUAAUAUAAUGUACUACACUUUCCGUGAGUACACAUCCUAGUAGAAGUAGUGAAAGAAGUAUUCCGAGCGUUUAGAUGCCACUCCUAGCAACAGCGCUCUUAAAAGCAGCUGGGCUGAGCACCUGGUAUGUAUGGAGUUGGACAUAUUUAUUGAUUACUGUAGGGAGGAGUGGUCGGAGACGUCGAGGCUCCCUCGCUGCAUCCCCAGCAUAGAAAGCAAGCAACUCAAGGAAAGAGACGUUGCCGGAUCACCCCGUGGACCCGGGUCACCCUACAACUCGCACCGCUGCAACUCUCUAAUGACUCGCCACACAGGGAACUGGAAACUCAGCCGGCAGCCCCCCCGGCCGGCGAGCGGGCCGACCACCAGCCGGCUUCAUGCUCUCUCGUCCCUCAGAUCUCCUUAAAGCUGCGCAGUGGGAGCCUCAUUUAGAUGGCAGACGAGUCUUUUGAGCGCAGAGCAGCCUGAAGUCUCUGUGGACCGCUGCAGCUCUGGAAGGAGGACGUAAAUGAAGGCACCAGACAAUGCAACAAACCAAGAGGUCCCUGCACCCCACAGACAAGCCAGAGGACUCUAAUAAACAAACACACAGCCGCCAUCAUUAACGCGACUGUGAGUCAUAAUCCUCCUCUUCCUCACAAAGAAAAAGGUUUCAAUUUUUUUCCGUACCAGGGGGGAAGAAUCCAAUUUUCCGCUUUCUGCUCGGCACCACAUCUGUACAGCAUCUCGGCGAAGCUGAAUCAGAUUCAAGUGCACCGCUUUAUUGCAUUUUACUGCUGCUCCACUGUUCCCUAUAGAAUGAGAUGAUGAUAUUUGGAGAUAAGCGCCGCUCUAAGAAAAUAAGCUUUUAUGGUCAUGGAAAUGAUAUUAGAAGACGGAGGUGCAGUAGUUGCUUUUUAAGUUGAAUUCUCAAAACUCACUCCUUCACUGUCUCGGGGGCGAGUAAAACAUUUAGACAAUCACAUCUGUCAUCCAUUAUGAUUCUAGUGAAGUGUGGUGCAGAGAGAUGAGCACUGGUGCGCGUUAGAAACAUAUUCUGAUAUCUUUCUGUCUCUUUUACUCGCAGAGAGAAGUUUGUACUCUCACUCUGUCUUUGUUUUUAAUUCCCAUAUUUGGAGUUAGUAAACCAUUUAGUCAAUAACUUCCCUCAUGAGUGGAAAAAAAGAGAGAGGGAGAAAUGUUGGCAAUCUUCCAGAAGCUGAGACCUGUAUUUGGGAUGAUCCUUCCCGGUCUCACAUGAGGGAUUAGUCUGGAAAAGGGAACAGGUCGAACCAGCGUUGUGGUAUUUGUUGGAGUGAGGUCUUGUGUCCAGGCUCAGACUCUUCCUGUGUAUCUUCACCCUCAUCUCUCAGUAUUCACACUCAUAGGCCUACAGCUCAUUAAUGAUAUUAAACCUUCAGUGUAAAUCGUGAUGUUCAGUCAGGAAGAGCAACACAACCCCACUCUGUUGACUGCUUUGCAUUGCUCCAGUACGUCCCCCACUUCCUCUCUCCCACUCUUCCACACUGUCUCUUUCUCCCUCCUCCUACCU